rnacentral:rRNA from 1 species
CCGACUGCUAUUUGGGUGAGGAUAAGCCAUGCGAGUUGAAUGGGAUACCUAAAUUUCCCAUAGCAAACUGCUCAGUAACACAUGAUCAACUUACCCUAUGGAGAGAAAUAACCUCGGGAAACUGAGGAUAAUGUUUCAUAGUUGAAUAGGCUUGGAAAAGUUUUUCAAUGAAAGGGAUAAGAAAAAUGGUUCUUAUUUGCCAUAGGAUAGGAUCGUGGUCGAUUAUGGUUGUUGGUGAGGUAACGGCUCACCAAGCCGAUAAUCGAUAGGGGCCGUGAGAGCGGGAGCCCCGAGAUGGGUACUGAGACAACGACCCAGGCCUUACGAGGCGCAGCAGGCGCGGAACCUCCGCAAUACACGAAAGUGUGACGGGGUUACCCAAAGUGUUCAUUAUUGAACUGUGGUAGGUGAGUAAUGUCCCCUACUAGAAAGGAGAGGGCAAGGCUGGUGCCAGCCGCCGCGGUAAAACCAGCUCUUCAAGUGGUCGGGAUGAUUAUUGGGCUUAAAGUGUCCGUAGCCGGUUUAGUAAGUUCCUGGUAAAAUCGGGUAGCUUAACUAUCCGUAUGCUAGGAAUACUGCUAUACUAGAGGACGGGAGAGGUCUGAGGUACUAUAGGGGUAGGGGUGAAAUCCUAUAAUCCUUAUGGGACCACCAGUGGCGAAGGCGUCAGACUGGAACGUGCCUGACGGUGAGGGACGAAAGCCAGGGGAGCGAACCGGAUUAGAUACCCGGGUAGUCCUGGCCGUAAACGAUGCAUACUAGGUGAUGGCACGGCCAUGAGCCGUGUCAGUGCCGUAGGGAAACCGUUAAGUGUGCCGCCUGGGAAGUACGGUCGCAAGGCUAAAACUUAAAGGAAUUGGCGGGGGAGCACCACAAGGGGUGAAGCCUGCGGUUCAAUUGGAUUCAACGCCGGG